rnacentral:rRNA from 1 species
AUGGAAGCGAGCGCGCAACAAGGCAACUAUGUCCAAGUCUACGUCAUGCUCCCUCUGGACAUCGUGAGCGUGAACAACAGGUUCGAGAAGGGUGACGAGCUCAGGGGGCAACUGAAGAGGCUGGUAGAGGCCGGUGUGGAUGGUGUCAUGGUAGACGUCUGGUGGGGCUUGGUGGAGGGCAAGGGCCCCAGGGUGUACGACUGGUCCGCCUACAAGCAAUUGUUUGAGCUGGUGCAUGAGGCUGGACUGAAGUUACAAGCCAUCAUGUCAUUCCACCAGUGUGGUGGCAACGUCGGUGACGUCGUCAACAUCCCGAUCCCGCAGUGGGUGCGUAAUGUCGGAGUGAGUGAUCCGGACAUUUUCUACACCGACCAGCACGGGACUAGGAACAUUGAGUACCUCACCCUUGGAGUUGAUGACCAGCCUCUCUUCCAUGGAAGAUCUGCCGUCCAGAUGUACGCCGAUUACAUGGCAAGCUUCAGGGACAACAUGAAAGAGUUCUUGGAUGCCGGUCUUAUUGUAGACAUUGAAGUCGGACUUGGCCCAGCUGGAGAGUUGAGGUACCCAUCCUAUCCUCAGAGCCACGGAUGGUCAUUCCCAGGCAUCGGAGAAUUCAUCUGCUAUGAUAAGUACCUGCAAGCAGACUUCAAAGCAGCAGCAGCGAUGGUUGGCCAUCCUGAGUGGGAAUUUCCUCGCGAUGCCGGGACGUACAAUGACACUCCCCAGAGAACUCGAUUCUUCGUGGACAACGGAACAUAUCUCACUGAGCAGGGGAGGUUUUUCCUUGCAUGGUACUCCAAUAACCUGAUCAAGCAUGGUGACAAGAUCUUGGACGAAGCAAACAAGGUCUUCUUGGGACACACAGUGCAACUGGCAAUCAAAAAUGUAAAUGAGACAUGGCCAAAUCUUUGGUUACAGAUCUCUGGCAUUCACUGGUGGUACAAGGUUCCAAGCCAUGCAGCCGAGGUCACAGCUGGGUACUACAACUUACAUGAUAGAGACGGCUACAGACCCAUAGCACGCAUGCUCAAAAGGCACCAUGCUAGUCUUAACUUCACUUGCGCCGAGAUGAGGGACUCGGAGCAAAGCUCACAGGCGAUGAGCGCACCGGAAGAACUAGUCCAACAGGUGUUGAGCGCUGGAUGGAGAGAGGGCCUAAAUAUGGCAUGCGAAAAUGCACUUCCUCGAUAUGAUCCAACUGCUUACAACACCAUACUCAGGAAUGCGAGGCCUCAUGGCAUCAACAAGAGCGGCCCUCCUGAGCACAAGCUGUUUGGAUUCACCUACCUUCGGCUGUCGAAUCAGUUGGUGGAGGGACAAAACUAUGUCAAUUUCAAGACCUUUGUUGACAGAAUGCAUGCCAACCUGCCUCAUGACCCAUGUGUUGAUCCAGUGGCGCCUUUGCAAAGAUCAGGGCCAGAACUGACGAUUGAAAUGAUCCUACAAGCAGCGCAGCCAAAACUGGAGCCAUUCCCCUUUGAAGAGCACACCGACCUGCCAGUUCAAGGCCUCGGUGGCAUCGGUGGUGGGGAGGUUGAAGACCCCACUGGUGGCAUGGGUGGGGAGGUUCAACAAGACCCCACUGGUGGCAUGGGUGGGGAGGUUCAACAAGACCCCACUGGUGGCAUGGGUGGGGAGGUUGAAGACCCUACCGGUGGCAUGGGUGGGGAGCUCCCUCCCACCGUGUAG